GCCGUAGCUCAGUGCUAGAGCACCUGGCUUAGAUGCAGAAGGUCCUAGGUUCAUUCCCCAGCAUCUCCC